CGCGACGUAUCUGGAUUUACUGGGCGUAAGCGUGUGCAGGCGGUUUGAUAAGUUGGAUGUGAAAGCUCCUGGCUUAACCGGGAGAGGUCGUUCAAAACUAUCAGACUAGAGAGUGGUAGAGGGAGAUGGAAUUCCGCGUGUAGUGGUGAAAUGCGUAGAUAUGCGGAGGAACACCAGUGGCGAAAGCGGUCUCCUGGCCCAUUUCUGACGCUCAGACACGAAAGCUAAGGUAGCAAACGGGAUUAGAGACCCCGGUAGUCUUAGCUGUAAACGAUGUGAACUUAGUGUCGGUGGGGUUAAAUCCAUCGGUACUGAAGCUAACGCGAUAAGUUCACCGCCUGGGGACUACGGCCGCAAGGUUAAAACUCAAAGGAAUUGACGGGGCCCCGCACAAGCAGCGGAGCGUGUGGUUUAAUUCGAUGCUACACGAAGAACCUUACCAGGGUUUGACAUGCAAGUGGUAGGAAACUGAAAAGUGACCGACCCUUCGGGGAGCUUGCACAGGUGCUGCAUGGCUGUCGUCAGCUCGUGUCGUGAGAUGUUCGGUUAAGUCCGCUAACGAGCGCAACCCUCGCUGUGUGUUAUAUGUGUCACACGGGACUGCCGGUUUUAAGCCGGAGGAAGGCGAGGAUGACGUCAAGUCAGCAUGGCCUUUAUAUCCUGGGCUACACACACGCUACAAUGGUCGGUACAAUAGGUUGCCAAGCCGCGAGGCGGAGCCAAUCCAUAAAGCCGGCCUCAGUUCAGAUUGUAGGCUGCAACUCGCCUGCAUGAAGAUGGAGUUGCUAGUAACCGCAGGUCAGCAAUACUGCGGUGAAUACGUUCCCGGGUCUUGCACACACCGCCCGUA
rnacentral:rRNA from 1 species